rnacentral:tRNA from 1 species
GGUGGCUCAGUGGUAGAGCGAUUGCCUUGCAUGCAUGAAGCCCUGGGUUCGAUUCCUCAGCACCA